rnacentral:sRNA from 1 species
UUAAACGUUUACAAUAAUGUAUUUCACCAUGUUCGUUAAAAGACAGAUUUCAAGUAGGUGAAAAAUAAAUAAGAAGACAGCAAGCUAAUGAUGAUAAAUAAACGAAAAACGAUUACUAAUAGAAGAGUAUUCUAAUCAUACGAAUUCAGAUAUAACAUUUAUCUCCUUCUACAGAGAGAAGGCGACCGCCUUGGUCGUUGCUGUGGAAUUGUCUCAGAGGACGACAUCAUCGGUUGACUCUUAAGCUGCAGAGAGGGGGUUGGGUAUUCAUCACCGCUUUAAAAACGUAGAAGUUGCUAUCACGUGUUUGAGCACUCAAUUCCUCAUUUUUAUGGCACUGUGCUGUGUUGUCUGACGUUCUUGAUUGCUAUUGCUCAAACUGCUGUGAUUUCGUCGUACUUGUCCACUUGAAGCAUUUCCUCGUUUUCUUCUCCAUGCCAUGAGCAAUUCAUUUCUCCAGCAUUACUGUCAUUCCUUACGCCCGUACCUCGCAUCUGAUCCAUAUGUCUUAUCACCCGACUAUUUUCAAUUCCCAACUCGUAAUGGACCUGUCCCAACUUCUUCGUAACGACGCCUUUCUGCCAUUUUGUCCCUCGUUGGCCAGAGAAUAAGAAGUAUACUUCAUCGCGCACAUCGAAUCUUCUUCCACCCUCCAUAUCUUUCUUUAAAUACCGCCUAGAUUCUAUCCUUUCGGGGAUACUUUCAGGUUUCACCAAAUCAAGUCACGUUCUCAAUUGCAGCCCCAAAAAUAGCUGAGCCGGUGACACACCUGACCUCGAGUGAGGGGCACUUUUGUAUUGCCUGAGAAGUUUAUUGAGGUUUUCUUGCAGCGUCUGCCUUGUUGUACCCAUAGCCUUCAAAGCGUUCUUUACGGUCUGAACACUUCGCUCAGCCUUGCUGUUGGUCGAUGGAUCACCUUCACCUCCAGCCACUUACUAUACGCGUUAAUAACUAUCAAAAGCAUCAUGCCCUGGAUUGGCCCCGCAUAAUCCAUAUGCACGCGUUCCCAUGGCCCUUUCGGGUACUCCCAAUGAUGUUCUGUCACCUUUCUCGGUCGGUUCGCCACGCUUGCGUAUCUGUAGUAUUUCCUUGCCAUUACCUCAAUAUCCGAAUCAAUCUUCGGCCAGUACCCAAAAGAGCGUGCAAUUCCUUUUAUCUUCGCCAUUUUUUUCAUUUGCGCCCCUACAGGGGGACCAAUCUGCCAGCUGUUUUCCCAAAUACGUCUUGGAAUUUCUCCUACACGUACUGUAGUUUCUGCCUCUGAGCCGCACGUAGUACCGCCUUUCCCGAUGAAAAACUCAAGCACAUGCCAACCAUUCCAAUCUAUCAUUCGGUUCGCAAAUAAAUUCUCGAUAUUUAUUUCUUGAGCAUAUCCACUCACGGACACAUAAUGUAUCCAACUCAUCAUUCGCCACAUACAAAUUCAACAGCUUCGUGGUUUUGCCCAAUGUUGCCUUUACCACCAACCUACCAAUGCAGUCAAAUCCAUGGCCAAUGUAGCAGGCAAAACGCCUUUCAGCCCUCAGCAAUCUGUACUUUGGUCUGAUAGUUCGCAAUUUUUUUUUUACAAAUUAUGCUACAUGCUGCACCCGAGUCCAGUUCAAUUUCCACAAUUUUCCAUCAAUAGAACUUGGAGCAUUUUUCAAAUUGGUCGUUUUUACAUUUCUUCUUUGUUUACGUUUACUCCUAUUUGAUGACAUUUUCAACCAGCAGGUUUGACAUCCUUAAUGAAGUUCAUGGGGCCUAUCCACUUUUUGUUUUCGCAAGUGUCCUAACCUCCAAUACUUGUGAAUCCUGUACUCCGGCAAGCAAAUAUAGAAUCUAUGGAUGAAAAUGUUUCGCGAAGUAUUUGAAACUACGCAAUACGAAGACAAUAGCUGUACAGAGAGCUCAAAGUUUAUAAAGAUUUAGAAUUCUCGAGAGGAGCUUUUUACUUUAGUGGAUUAUAGCUCCAGAGAUAUAUCGUGAAUUUUCAAAGCUAGAUGUAACCUAAUAUAUUUGAAUAGCAAUAAACAUUGGUUCAAUGAAACGGAAACCAAAGAGUAUACGUUAUGCAAUACGAGAAGGAUGCACUUUAUCAAGCCUUUCCUGGUGUAAUGUAAAGUGAUGAGUAUACUUGAUGGAAGAGAAGCAAAGCAGCUCUACAAUAUCGAAGAUUAUUAAUUAAUGAAUUCAGUUAACCAAUUAUUCCAUGUGUUUUCUUUAAAACCAUAUCUAAAAAUACAAGUUUGGGCUGACGACAGGAUUCACUGAAUAAAGUUAGGCCAAGCAA